rnacentral:lncRNA from 1 species
GUCUUGCAAAACUAGUUGUACCGUAGCAUUAUAUGGAAGUCGAUAUAGCUUUGUACCUUUGUUCGUGGCAAAGUUUGUUGGUUGUGUGCCGGUAUAAUUAUAGGGCAUCAAUGGUUUACUAGGAAAAUCGUCUGUAAAAACCCCGCUUAUGUUAAAGUAAUGUGCUUGUAAAAGGGCUGUUGUUGGCAUGACAAAUGUGAUAUUAUUGAUGUCUGCUACAACCCUGCUACCAUUGACACAUGUUUUGCAUGGAUUGAUUCCAAGCCCAAUUGUGAAAAACAAUGAAUGGUCAACUGUCAACGGGACUUUAGCUGGAUAUGUUGCGGAAUUCAAGCUUCUAAGAGAGUUUAUAAAAGUGUUGGCAACCGGAGUUGAAUUUUGAGGUGGUGGAGCAACGAGUUUAGUAGUGGUGGAGGUGACAGUACCAGAGUAAUGGAGGGAGGCGGUGGCGGUAAAAUUGUCCACGGCAAUCGGUGCAUCCAUGAAUGGGGCGACCACCACCAAGUACUUUCCGGCUUUUUGAGUGGCGGUUAGAAUGGCAUUUGUGGUUUGACCUGGUGCUAUAAGAAUGGUGAUUCCCGUUAAUAGUGUGAGCAUCAGAAACAUUUGGGGCUUGCCCUAAUUUUUGUGCU